AGCCAUAUGUUGUGUAUGUUAAAUUAAUCAAAGGGAAACAUGUCACUUCUACCAUGAAUAAUUAUGUUUUGUGAUUGGGCAUAAUGAAGUUAUGUAACUUUAGCAUGAUGCCCAAUAACCAACGACUUCCCAAAUCCAGUAAUGUUGUCACAACCUAAUUCCUUUGGAUAAGAUGACCAAUGGCUUUUACAACGCCAGAACAGAUGGUGGCAGUAGUGUGCGGAUUGUGUGUGGCAGCCGGAAACAACGAGCUUGCCGAGUUCUUUGACUGAAUACAUAUCCGCGGACACUCUGAAGGCGGCAUUCAAGAUGUUUGUAGGGUCCUCACCUCAGCUACCUCUCACAAGGUGCCCCUGAAAAAGAAAUUCAAGACGUUUGGGUCCUCAGCUCAACUGACCAAGACCUUUGCUCAUUGAAGGCAUGAAGUAAUUUGUGAUGCCCCCACGAUUGCAGUUUUUAAAUCCAGAUGGCUUGCUCUUUUUAACAUGUGCGAGAGCUGGAUGGUCUUUCAACAACACUGCUCCGGGUCUUCAGCAAGAAAGGUGCUUCUCAUGCAAGGAAGAUACAGAGGAUCCUGGUGCCCAUGACUCAGGUAAAACAUGCACACUGCCAUGCAUCACAGUAAUGCUAAAAUUUCAAGAUCUAAUGUAAUGGGGAGAAGUAGGGUGUCUUGGAUCAUAUUGCAUUUCUCCCACUAAUUUCAAUCCUUCAGCCAGUUUUGAACUCAUUGUCUUCACCUCAGUUCUAACUACAGCUGGCUUUACACACAGCAGUCCUGGGCAAUGAUAUAACAGUCUUUUGCAGGUCAGUUGAUGUGG